UAAGUACCCCGAGGAAAAGAAAUCAACCGAGAUUCCGAAAGUAGCGGCGAGCGAAAUUGGACUAGCCCUUAAGCUUUACACGCGUUAGACGAACGGUCUGGAAAGUCCGACGAUACAGGGUGAUAGUCCCGUAGUUGACGACGUGUGUUCAGUGAAAUCGAGUAGGGCGGGACACGUGAUAUCCUGUCUGAAUAUGGGGGGACCAUCCUCCAAGGCUAAAUACUACUGACUGACCGAUAGUGAACCAGUACCGUGAGGGAAAGGCGAAAAGAACCCCUGUGAGGGGAGUGAAAUAGAACCUGAAACCGUGUACGUACAAGCAGUAGGAGCAGGCUU
rnacentral:rRNA from 1 species